GACCUUAGGUGACUCCGGCCGUGACCUUCAGGUGACCCCGGCCUGGCCGGCCUCAGCUAGAAAGGGCGGGAACGCUCAGGUGAGAAGAAAAAGCGGCGGGAAGCGAUAAAGGCGGGAAGCGACAGCGGCGUUCUGGGCUCCUAUUGGCUGGCGGGCAGCCCGGAAAUCUAUAUAAGGUGCGCGGACGAACAGGAGCUGCUGCAGAAGAAAGAAGAAGCAGCAGCGUGGGGACCUGGGCGGCAGGAGCGAGCAAGCAAGAAGAGGAAGCGGAAGCGUGCAGAUGCGGGGGGGAAGGAGAGAGGCUCCCUGGGCAAAGCACCUGUCCCGUUAGCGGGGGCACAGUCACGUUUGAGUUGAGCGCUGCCGGUGCCUCUGGCGUCCCGGCGGGCUUUGUGCUGGGCGACCUCCCUGUAAGCAGGGCUCGGGUCUUUGCUGUAGUUGGCCUUUUGCCUUGCUGCUCCUAGGGCUGCCUGGGGAGCGUGGCCCCCUGUAACGGAGGGCGAGAGUCACCUCUCCGCACCUGAGUGGGAAAUGGAGCUCGCCGGACCCCGAGGCCACCCUGUAAGCAGGGUAGUGCCGCUUCCCUGCCCCUCUUUGUCCUCCCGGCCCCUCGGCAUCGUUGCCUGGUGGUGGCCUGUCAACGCGACGGCCCCGUACUCGGGGUGCGCGCCACAGCAUUUGGCAUUUGGCCUUUGGCUUUACCCGAGAAGCCCCAUGGCACGUUGAGGUCUGUGGCCUCCGUGCAGCCUAGGGACAGGUCACAGGCUCUUGUCUGUUGCCCGUGGUUGUGGGUUAAUUCCCAGGUGUUGGCUGUGCUGCGUUGUCCUUCCCUUCUGGAAAGUCGUGCCUGUGUGUGCGUGUUCCCCUUCCUUUCCUUGUUUGUGUUUGUGGAGUGGUUGAGCGGGUGUGCUUUCCCUUUAGGCCUCCACAAAGAUGGCUGCAGCUUAGCUUUGACUUCCCAGGGGGGAAUGGAGGACUUUGGUGCAUGCCGCAAAAGGGGUGUUCCCUCUUAGUCCUGCGAGCGCAGCGAGUGUCCUGUCUUCCUACUAUUUUCCUUAGUGCAGAUCAGAGCCACACGGUAGUUCUGUGGCCAAGGCCUCCCUGUAGCCAGGGCUUGGGCCUGUCCUUGCGUGGCCGCCUGUCCUGCUGGCGGCGGUGACAGCCCCGUAGUCGGGGUGUGUGUCCCAAGCUUUGGAGCCCUCUGUCCCUGAGCAGCCCGCCCGCCCUGUAAUCAGGUGUGGGGAGGCUGCAGCGUUGCAGCCGGCUGCUUUAGCCGUCCAGCUGGUGGGAGUGACCCCUCCCUGUCCCGUCAGAGGGUGCAGGUUGAGGUGCUGUUUGUGUGUGGGGUGACCUCCCCGCUCGGUGGGUCGAGGUAGCUCCCUGGGCUUCCAAAGACGAGGCGUUGGUGAUGUUCUGCUGCUGCCGGGCGGGCCAGCCUGUAACUCAGGCGUUGGCGGGAGCCUCGUGCUCCGCGGGGCUUCUUGAAGAGGGUGAGGUGUGGGGGUACCGUCCUGUAGGCAGGGCUGUGUGUGCCCCCCGUGUGUGCUUGGUGAGCUGCGUUCUGAGAGACCCCCUGUACUCAGGUGGGAAUGUGGCCCCGGCCUUUCAGAGGCGCGGGGCCGUGAGAUGCGGGGUGGGGCUUGCACCCUCCCUGGAAUUGGGGCUGGGAUCCCGACUGCGGCCUUUGGCCGUGCCGCCCCGCUGCCUGGCUGCUGAGAGUUGCUCCUGCCGCUGGGGGGGAAACCGAGCUCUGUGGCUCCAGGGGUGUUGUCCACCCGCCUGUAAUCAGGGUCUGGGUGCGUGAGCGUUUGUGCUCUGCUGGCAGCCUGUGUGGGGUGACCGCCCCGCUAGCGGGGUGUGGGUCGAGGUGCCCCGGACUGGGAGAGAAGGAGCCUCCCUCGGCCGUAGGGAUGGGGGCCGCCCUGUAAGUCAGGGAGCAUCUGUGUCCCGGAGUCCCAGGCCCUUUUCAAUGGCGGCAGUGGCCGGGGGUCCCCUGUAAGCAGGGAAGCUGACUCUUUGGCUGCUGCUUUUUGUGUGCCCAGCCCCAUUUGCCCGGUCUGCCCGCCUCUGUGAUCCCCCGCAGCACUGGCUGGAAGUCCGCCGCGUGUCAGUGAGGAGCUGCUGCAGAAGGAAGAAGAAGAAGCGGCGUGGGGAGCUGGGAGGCAGGAGCAAGCAAGAAGAGGAAGCGGAAGCGUGCAGAUGCGGGGGGGAAGGAGAGAGGCUCCCUGGGCAAAGCACCUGUCCCGUUAGCGGGGGCACAGUCACGUUUGAGUUGAGAGCUGCCGGCGCCUUUGGUGACCAGGCUGGCGUUGUGCUGGGCGACCUCCCUGUAAGCGGGGCUCGGGUCUUUGCUGUAGUUGGCCUUUUGCCUUGCUGCUCCUUUGGCUGCCUGGGGAGCGUGGCCCCCUGUAACGGAGGGCGAGAGCCACCUCUCCGCACCUGAGUGGGAAAUGGAGCUCGCCGGACCCCGAGGCCACCCUGUAAGCAGGGUAGUGCCGUUUCCCUGCCCCUCUUCCUCCCCCGGCCCCUCGGCAUCGUUGCCUGAUGGUGGCUUGUCAACGCGACGGCCCCGUACUCGGGGUGUGCGUCACGGCAUUUGGCCGCUGGCUUUACCUGAGAAGCCCCUUGGCACGUUGAGGUCUGUGGCCUCCGUGCAGCCUAGGGACAGGUCACAGGCUCUUGUCUGUUGCCCGUGGUUGUGGGUUUAUUCCCAGGUGUUGGCUGUGCUGCGUUGUCCUUCCCUUCUGGAAAGUCGUGCCUGUGUGUGCGUGUUCCCCUUCCUUUCCUUGUUUGUGUUUGUGGAGUGGUUGAGCGGGUGUGCUUUCCCUUUAGGCCUCCACAAAGAUGGCUGCAGCUUAGCUUUGACUUCCCAGGGGGGAAUGGAGGACUUUGGUGCAUGCCGCAAAAGGGGUGUUCCCUCUUAGUCCUGCGAGCGCAGCGAGUGUCCUGUCUUCCUACUAUUUUCCUUAGUGCAGAUCAGAGCCACACGGUAGUUCUGUGGCCAAGGCCUCCCUGUAGCCAGGGCUUGGGCCUGUCCUUGCGUGGCCGCCUGUCCUGCUGGCGGCGGUGACAGCCCCGUACUCGGGGUGUGUGUCCCAAGCUUUGGAGCCCUCUGUCCCUGAGCAGCCCGCCCGCCCUGUAAUCAGGUGUGGGGAGGCUGCAGCGUUGCAGCCGGCUGCUUUAGCCGUCCAGCUGGUGGGAGUGACCCCUCCCUGUCCCGUCAGAGGGUGCAGGUUGAGGUGCUGUUUGUGUGUGGGGUGACCUCCCCGCUCGGUGGGUCGAGGUAGCUCCCUGGGCUUCCAAAGACGAGGCGUUGGUGAUGUUCUGCUGCUGCCGGGCGGGCCAGCCUGUAACUCAGGCGUUGGCGGGAGCCUCGUGCUCCGCGGGGCUUCUUGAAGAGGGUGAGGUGUGGGGGUACCGUCCUGUAGGCAGGGCUGUGUGUGCCCCCCGUGUGUGCUUGGUGAGCUGCGUUCUGAGAGACCCCCUGUACUCAGGUGGGAAUGUGGCCCCGGCCUUUCAGAGGCGCGGGGCCGUGAGAUGCGGGGUGGGGCUUGCACCCUCCCUGGAAUUGGGGCUGGGAUCCCGACUGCGGCCUUUGGCCGUGCCGCCCCGCUGCCUGGCUGCUGAGAGUUGCUCCUGCCGCUGGGGGGGAAACCGAGCUCUGUGGCUCCAGGGGUGUUGUCCACCCGCCUGUAAUCAGGGUCUGGGUGCGUGAGCGUUUGUGCUCUGCUGGCAGCCUGUGUGGGGUGACCGCCCCGCUAGCGGGGUGUGGGUCGAGGUGCCCCGGACUGGGAGAGAAGGAGCCUCCCUCGGCCGUAGGGAUGGGGGCCGCCCUGUAAGUCAGGGAGCAUCUGUGUCCCGGAGUCCCAGGCCCUUUUCAAUGGCGGCAGUGGCCGGGGGUCCCCUGUAAGCAGGGAAGCUGACUCUUUGGCUGCUGCUUUUUGUGUGCCCAGCCCCAUUUGCCCGGUCUGCCCGCCUCUGUGAUCCCCCGCAGCACUGGCUGGAAGUCCGCCGCGUGUCAGUGAGGAGCUGCUGCAGAAGGAAGAAGAAGAAGCGGCGUGGGGAGCUGGGAGGCAGGAGCAAGCAAGAAGAGGAAGCGGAAGCGUGCAGAUGCGGGGGGGAAGGAGAGAGGCUCCCUGGGCAAAGCACCUGUCCCGUUAGCGGGGGCACAGUCACGUUUGAGUUGAGAGCUGCCGGCGCCUUUGGUGACCAGGCUGGCGUUGUGCUGGGCGACCUCCCCGUAAGCGGGGCUCGGGUCUUUGCUGUAGUUGGCCUUUUGCCUUGCUGCUCCUUUGGCUGCCUGGGGAGCGUGGCCCCCUGUAACGGAGGGCGAGAGCCACCUCUCCGCACCUGAGUGGGAAAUGGAGCUCGCCGGACCCCGAGGCCACCCUGUAAGCAGGGUAGUGCCGUUUCCCUGCCCCUCUUCCUCCCUCGGCCCCUCGGCAUCGUUGCCUGAUGGUGGCUUGUCAACGCGACGGCCCCGUACUCGGGGUGUGCGUCACGGCAUUUGGCCGCUGGCUUUACCUGAGAAGCCCCUUGGCACGUUGAGGUCUGUGGCCUCCGUGCAGCCUAGGGACAGGUCACAGGCUCUUGUCUGUUGCCCGUGGUUGUGGGUUUAUUCCCAGGUGUUGGCUGUGCUGCGUUGUCCUUCCCUUCUGGAAAGUCGUGCCUGUGUGUGCGUGUUCCCCUUCCUUUCCUUGUUUGUGUUUGUGGAGUGGUUGAGCGGGUGUGCUUUCCCUUUAGGCCUCCACAAAGAUGGCUGCAGCUUAGCUUUGACUUCCCAGGGGGGAAUGGAGGACUUUGGUGCAUGCCGCAAAAGGGGUGUUCCCUCUUAGUCCUGCGAGCGCAGCGAGUGUCCUGUCUUCCUACUAUUUUCCUUAGUGCAGAUCAGAGCCACACGGUAGUUCUGUGGCCAAGGCCUCCCUGUAGCCAGGGCUUGGGCCUGUCCUUGCGUGGCCGCCUGUCCUGCUGGCGGCGGUGACAGCCCCGUAGUCGGGGUGUGUGUCCCAAGCUUUGGAGCCCUCUGUCCCUGAGCAGCCCGCCCGCCCUGUAAUCAGGUGUGGGGAGGCUGCAGCGUUGCAGCCGGCUGCUUUAGCCGUCCAGCUGGUGGGAGUGACCCCUCCCUGUCCCGUCAGAGGGUGCAGGUUGAGGUGCUGUUUGUGUGUGGGGUGACCUCCCCGCUCGGUGGGUCGAGGUAGCUCCCUGGGCUUCCAAAGACGAGGCGUUGGUGAUGUUCUGCUGCUGCCGGGCGGGCCAGCCUGUAACUCAGGCGUUGGCGGGAGCCUCGUGCUCCGCGGGGCUUCUUGAAGAGGGUGAGGUGUGGGGGUACCGUCCUGUAGGCAGGGCUGUGUGUGCCCCCCGUGUGUGCUUGGUGAGCUGCGUUCUGAGAGACCCCCUGUACUCAGGUGGGAAUGUGGCCCCGGCCUUUCAGAGGCGCGGGGCCGUGAGAUGCGGGGUGGGGCUUGCGCCCUCCCUGGAAUCGGGGCUGGGAUCCCGACUGCGGCCUUUGGCCGUGCCGCCCCGCUGCCUGGCUGCUGAGAGUUGCUCCUGCCGCUGGGGGGGAAACCGAGCUCUGUGGCUCCAGGGGUGUUGUCCACCCGCCUGUAAUCAGGGUCUGGGUGCGCGAGCGUUUGUGCUCUGCUGGCAGCCUGUGUGGGGUGACCGCCCCGCUAGCGGGGUGUGGGUCGAGGUGCCCCGGACUGGGAGAGAAGGAGCCUCCCUCGGCCGUAGGGAUGGGGGCCGCCCUGUAAGUCAGGGAGCAUCUGUGUCCCGGAGUCCCAGGCCCUUUUCAAUGGCGGCAGUGGCCGGGGUCCCCUGUAAGCAGGGAAGCUGACUCUUUGGCUGCUGCUUUUUGUGUGCCCAGCCCCAUUUGCCCGGUCUGCCCGCCUCUGUGAUCCCCCGCAGCACUGGCUGGAAGUCCGCCGCGUGUCAGUGAGGAGCUGCUGCAGAAGGAAGAAGAAGAAGCGGCGUGGGGAGCUGGGAGGCAGGAGCAAGCAAGAAGAGGAAGCGGAAGCGUGCAGAUGCGGGGGGGAAGGAGAGAGGCUCCCUGGGCAAAGCACCUGUCCCGUUAGCGGGGGCACAGUCACGUUUGAGUUGAGAGCUGCCGGCGCCUUUGGUGACCAGGCUGGCGUUGUGCUGGGCGACCUCCCCGUAAGCGGGGCUCGGGUCUUUGCUGUAGUUGGCCUUUUGCCUUGCUGCUCCUUUGGCUGCCUGGGGAGCGUGGCCCCCUGUAACGGAGGGCGAGAGCCACCUCUCCGCACCUGAGUGGGAAAUGGAGCUCGCCGGACCCCGAGGCCACCCUGUAAGCAGGGUAGUGCCGUUUCCCUGCCCCUCUUCCUCCCCCGGCCCCUCGGCAUCGUUGCCUGAUGGUGGCUUGUCAACGCGACGGCCCCGUACUCGGGGUGUGUGUCCCAAGCUUUGGAGCCCUCUGUCCCUGAGCAGCCCGCCCGCCCUGUAAUCAGGUGUGGGGAGGCUGCAGCGUUGCAGCCGGCUGCUUUAGCCGUCCAGCUGGUGGGAGUGACCCCUCCCUGUCCCGUCAGAGGGUGCAGGUUGAGGUGCUGUUUGUGUGUGGGGUGACCUCCCCGCUCGGUGGGUCGAGGUAGCUCCCUGGGCUUCCAAAGACGAGGCGUUGGUGAUGUUCUGCUGCUGCCGGGCGGGCCAGCCUGUAACUCAGGCGUUGGCGGGAGCCUCGUGCUCCGCGGGGCUUCUUGAAGAGGGUGAGGUGUGGGGGUACCGUCCUGUAGCAGGGCUGUGUGUGCCCCCCGUGUGUGCUUGGUGAGCUGCGUUCUGAGAGACCCCCUGUACUCAGGUGGGAAUGUGGCCCCGGCCUUUCAGAGGCGCGGGGCCGUGAGAUGCGGGGUGGGGCUUGCGCCCUCCCUGGAAUCGGGGCUGGGAUCCCGACUGCGGCCUUUGGCCG